rnacentral:misc_RNA from 1 species
GUUGUUGAUUAAAUAAAUUAAAUAAAUAUGAUGGUUGUGCUUGGUGAUUCAAAACCAAUUUUUUUACGUUUGGUUCUAAGUUUGUGUGAUGAAGGCGUAAGUCUCCUCUUUUGAUGAUGUCCAGUCGAUUAAAUUUUUUCGUUAUUAGAUUAUAACGCACUGCCUCUGGUAUAUGUAGUUUAUAUUUCAUAAUUACGAAUUUAUUUUAGAAAUCGAUUAACGGGAAACAAUUACAGAUAAAUCUUGGUGCGUUGUUUUGAACAGAAAAAAAGUUCAGGGCCCUUAUCGUCCAAAAUGAGCUCACCGCCCCCGUUGAGAAGCACUGAUUUAUACUGAUACAGAUUCUCUUGUUUAUGAAAUAAAAAACGGAAAAUUUUUUUAACGAUAUAAAAAACGAAUUUAUUUUCCAAAUUUCGAUACGUCAAAUUUUCCAAAAAAACCAUUAUUGUUAUAGUGAAGACCGAAAAAAUCAGCCAGGGUUCUUCAAGGAUGAAUUAAAAGGUCGUAUUCUAUUAGAUUUUAUUGCAUUACAACCUUAACUCUACGCGUAUAGAGUAGGUUAUCUAGAAAUUAAAAAAUCUAGGCGUUAAAAAAUAUGUUAUUGAUAAACAUUUGAAGAUUGAUGAAUACAUUAAUGUAUUAAAUGCAUACACUCAACAUAAAUCGGUCGAUAGUUUAAUAGCAUAUUGUGAUAUGAAUGAUAUUCAAUCAAAUAGACAUAAAGUUUAUUCUAAAACUACAGAUAAAUUAGUUCUAAAUGCAAACGACGAUAAAAGCCAUAAACGAAUGACGGUAUUAAUACUAUAGCUCACGGUCAUUAUAAAUUAAAAGAUAAAUAUUAAAAUGUGUGUUUUUUUAUAGAUAAUAGCUACAGUGGUGCACACUCAUUCUUAUCGACAUGCGUCGAACAUAUCAUAUGAAUACCGACCACACACACAUUACCCAUUGGCAUAACAAUUUGCUGUGGCCGUAAUAGAGAUAAUUAUAAUAUUAUAUUAUUAUAAUAUUACCAUCGGUCACGAAACGACAGCCGAUCGACGCGCACAUCAGCAGUUAUUCUCGUAUUUAUUUUUGUUUCAAUUACAUUGUAAUUGUAAUUAAAUUGUGGAUUACAUAAAUAUGAUAAUGAGUUAUCGACGCGUUAUCUGCGCCGCCGGUUCGCGUAGAGUUUUAACACGGCCGCCGCAAUUUUGUCUUUUACCGUACGUCCCAGUGUAAAGACCGUGUGCGCGUGCAAAUCAUUAUACCUUUAUUAUAUUUGUUUUUCUUUUAUGUUUUGUGACAAUUUUUAUUGUAAGGCUACAGGAGAACCAGUUGGCCAGUCCGCUCUCCACAAACUCUAACAAAUCGGGAAAUAAAUGCCGCACCGUGUGGACAAGUAUUUGCUGCGCGGCACGGGGCCAACGGAGGCCGCGCGGCUAUGCUGCACGACAAAAGCUGCUCCAUCUGGACCCGCCUUUAGAUGAGCAAAGAUUUCAUGGCGAAUCAAUUGUAAGCGAUUAAUAUGUGUUUUGGUCCGCGGUCUCUACUAUGUUGAUACUGCACUGAUUCAUCAUCGUCUUGGACUGUCGUGGUGUUGAAUUUUCGAUUUUUUUUAUAUUCGUAUGUAUAUAUAUAUAUAUAUAUAUUUAUAUUGCAACAUGAAUAUACGU